CGGUCCAGACUCCUACGGGAGGCAGCAGUGGGGGAUAUUGCACAACGGAGGAAACUCUGACGCAGCAACGCCGCGUGAGGGAAGAAGGUUUUCGGAUUGUAAACCUCUGUCCUCAGGGACGAUAAUGACGGUACCUGAGGAGGAAGCUCCGGCUAACUACGUGCCAGCAGCCGCGGUAA
rnacentral:rRNA from 1 species